rnacentral:rRNA from 1 species
UACAGAGGUCUCAAGCGUUGUUCGGAUUCAUUGGGCGUAAAGGGCGCGUAGGCGGCGAGGUAAGUCGGGUGUGAAAUCUCAGAGCUCAACUCUGAAACUGCACUCGAUACUGCUUUGCUAGAGGACUGAAGAGGAGAAUGGAAUUCCCGGUGUAGCGGUGAAAUGCGCAGAUAUCGGGAAGAACACCCGUGGCGAAGGCGGUUCUCUGGGACGGUACUGACGCUGAGACGCGAAAGCGUGGGGAGCGAACAGG